rnacentral:misc_RNA from 1 species
CAGAAAACAGUCUUCAACAGUAAACGCCUUCUCCUUCUCUCAUGGACUUGAACAAUCUUAACAAUUACUCUCCCUCCUCCUCCUCCUCCACCCCCCACCCAUCUAUUGCCACCACUGCCGCCGACCCUAUGCAGUCAUGGUGGGAAUCCAUCUCCAAAGCUCGCGCUCGCAUCCUUUCCCUUUCCUCUCUCCUCCAUUCCGAUCCCGUCUCUUCCUUCUCUCUAUCUUCUCUUGCUGAUUCCGACCGCCCUGCACUUUCCUUCCUCUCCUCCUUCGACGCUUAUACUCUUCUCUCGUCUGCUCUUUCUUCUUCUACCUCUGGUUCUGGCCCUGAUCCUCUCUGUCAAUGGCUUUACGAUACCUAUCUUUCUUCUGAUCCUCAUCUUCGUCUCAUUGUCCUCUCUUUUCUUCCUCUUCUUUUGGGGUUGUAUCUCUCUCGGAUCCACUCUUCAGACUCUGCUUCCACUCCUUCUCUGGCUGGUUUCGAGGCUGUUCUCCUUGCCAUCUAUUCGUCGGAGGUGAAAUCUCGUGCUGGUAAGCCGGUUCUCGUCCAGAUUCCUGAUCUUUCACAGCCGUCGCUUUACCAUACUCCUCGGAACAAGCAAAAUCCACAUGGGUUUGAUAAUUCUCGACCAUCCGUUGGGGUUUUGUCGCCGCCACUUGAACCCCAGAUCGCGGUGAAGUCUACAAAGCGGCCGGUUAUUGUUGGGGUUGCACUUGAUUGUUAUUUUAAGCAGAUCUCGCAAAUGCCGAGUUGGUCUAAGGUUGAAUUGUGUAAAUAUGCAAGUGCUUGGGCUGGGCAGGAUUGUGCUUGUAAAGACAAAUUAGAUGGUGGAAGAGAAGUUGAAAUCCAAAAUGGACAUGGAAAUGAAAAUAAUGGUGGG